GAUGAAGAACGUAGCGAAAUGCGAUAAGUAGUGUGAAUUGCAGAAUUCAGUGAAUCAUCGAAUCUUUGAACGCACAUUGCGCCCCUUGGUAUUCCAUGGGGCAUGCCUGUUCGAGCGUCAUUUGUAUCUUCAAGCUUUGCUUGGUGUUGGGUGUUUGUCCUGCUCUAUGCGUGGACUCGCCUUAAAUCAAUUGGCAGCCGGUAAUCUGGUGUUUAAGAGCGCAGCACAUUGUGCGCUCCUCGCUGUGUAUUGCGGCGUCCAUUAAGUCUAUAUUUUUUGCUCUUGACCUCGGAUCAGGUAGGGAUACCCGCUGAACUUAAGCAUAUCAAUAAGCGGAGGA
rnacentral:misc_RNA from 1 species